GCAGUAGGGAGCAGCACUGCUGGGAACAUGACGGCAGGCUCUGGUUUGUUCCUUGUGCCAAGUUCCCGUAGACAGUGGAUGUGGACCAAGGGACUCCCUUGCCGCUGACAACCCCGUCUCAGGCUGCAGCCAGUGUCUGGAGGGACCCUCACCGUUGGGAGCAGAGCCUGGAGCUAAGCCCCAGGAGAACCGUGCGGGCAAGAGGCUGAGAAUGAGGACAACUGAAAACAGUCGGCGCCCGCCUCAGACCCGGGUGCAGCAGAGAGGGGGCCAAAAACAGAACCUGGGCCAUGGUGGGCACCUGAGUGAUGUUUCUGAGAUGAAUUAUGAUGACUGAUACAAUAAAUCUCUUGAAGAAUUGAGGAAAA
rnacentral:lncRNA from 1 species